rnacentral:lncRNA from 1 species
CAUACAUUUUCUAGAGUUUAUACUGUUGACAAACAGUAAAUGAAAGUGAGGUGAAAAGCCUACUCUACUGGACCUUCACUGUUUCACCCAUUAUCUGUUUUGUAUUCUCUGAAGGAGGUUGUUAAUGAGCAGACACUCCUGUUAGUCUCUAAAGGAGGUUGUUAAUGAGCAGACACUCCUGUUAGUCUCUAAAGGAGGUUGUUAAUGAGAAUGAGCAGACACUCCUGUUAGUCUCUAAAGGAGGUUGUUAAUGAGAGUGAGCAGACACUCCUGUUAGUCUCUAAAGGAGGUUGUUAAUGAGAGUGAGCAGACACUCCUGUUAGCUCAGUUGACUUUAGUCCCUGUUCCAUCCUUCAGAUUAGCAUGGAGGUGAGUGACUUUCACAGCAUGACAUCUGCUCCCCAGCUGAGCACAGCACCUGUGUUAACUAGGAUCAGUUCCUCCCAGGCCAACAGGGCUUCUCUCUGAGCCAACAGUGAUCUCUGUCUCUCUCUCUGUCAGCUAGUUAAGUCCUCCACCUGGUGCACCACACCGAUACCACAGUCAAGAGUCCUCUAGGGAGUGUUAUGAUCUUUCUCUCUUUCAGCCUUGGCUUGUGUAACCUGGCCUGUCUAGUACCUCUGUCUGUGUGUGUGUGUGUGUGUGUGUGUGUGUGUGUGUGUGUGUGUGUGUGUGUGUGUGUGUGUGUGUGUGUGUGUGUGU